UACGAAGGGUCCAAGCGUUGCUCGGAAUCAUUGGGCGUAAAGCGUGUGUAGGUUGUUUUGUAAGUCGAAAGUGAAAGCCCCGGGCUUAACCCGGGAAGUGCUUUCGAUACUGCAGAACUUGAAUGCGAGAGAGGUUGGUAGAAUUCCUGGUGUAGUGGUGAAAUACGUAGAGAUCAGGAGGAAUACCGGUGGUGAAGACGGCCAACUGGCUCGACAUUGACGCUGAGACUCGAAAGCGUGGGGAUCAAACAGG
rnacentral:rRNA from 1 species